rnacentral:rRNA from 1 species
CUGGGAGUCAGACAGUGUCAGAUAAAUGUCAUUGUCAAAAGGGAAACAGCCCAGAUCUACAGCUAAGGUCCCAAAGUCAGGUUAAGUGGAAAACGAUGUGAAGAUACGCAGACAACCAGGAUGUUGGCUCAGAAGCAGCCACUCAUUCAAAGAGUGCGUAAUAGCUCACUGGUCGAGCGUCUUUGCGCGGAGAAUUUAACGGGGCUAAACCUGGCACCGAAGCUUAGGCAAUGUAGUGAUACAUUGGGUAGGGGAGCGUUGUAUACGCGGUGAAACAGUAGCGCAAGCGGCUGUGGAGUGUAUAGAAGUGAGAAUGCCGGAAUGAGUAGCGCGAAUGCAGUGAGAAUCUGCAUGGCCGAAAGCCUCAGGUUUUUGGAGGAAGGUUCGUCCGCUCCAAGUUAGUCGGGAGCUAAGGUGAGGCCGAAAGGCGUAGCCGAUGCACAGACGGUAGAGAUUCCGUCACCACCAAAAGAGUUAAGCACAGGGACACAUUUGAAGUCUCAGAGCCGGGUGUUGGUUCCGGUAGAGAUCGAGGGAAAUUAGUACCGAAGUCUGGGAUGGAAGAUGGCGAGAAAAGCUGUGUGUAUUUCUGAGGUGCCCGUACCGCAAACCGACACAGGUAGGUAGGAAGAAGAUUCUAAGGCCAACGGGAGAAGGGUUGUUAAGGAACUCGGCAAAUUGACCCCGUAACUUCGGGAGAAGGGGUGCUCCAGAGAUGGAGCCGCAGAGAAUCGGCCCAAGCAACUGUUUACCAAAAACACAGGUUUGUGCUAAAUCGAAAGAUGACGUAUACGAGCUGACGCCUGCCCGGUGCUGGAAGGUUAAGAGGAGAUGUGCAAGCAUUGAAUCGAAGCCCCAGUGAACGGCGGCCGUAACUAUAACGGUCCUAAGGUAGCGAAAUUCCUUGUCAGGUAAGUUCUGACCCGCAUGAAAGGCGUAAUGAUUUGGGCACUGUCUCAACAGCCCGCCCGGCGAAAUUGUAGUACCGGUGAAGAUGCCGGUUACCCGCGACAAGACGGAAAGACCCCAUGGAGCUUUACUGUAGCCUAAUAUUGGGUUUCGAUGUUGCAUGCACAGGAUAGAUGGGACACAGGGAAACAAUCGCUUUGGCGGUUGCGGAGUGGCCGUUGGGAUACCAUCCUUGCGAUAUUGGAAUU